AGAGUUUGAUCCUGGCUCAGGACGAACGCUGGCGGCGUGCUUAACACAUGCAAGUCGAACGGAAAGGCCCUUCGGGGUACUCGAGUGGCGAACGGGUGAGUAACACGUGGGUGAUCUGCCCUGCACUUUGGGAUAAGCCUGGGAAACUGGGUCUAAUACCGAAUAUGACCACGCUCUUCAUGGGGUGUGGUGGAAAGCUUUUGCGGUGUGGGAUAGGCCCGCGGCCUAUCAGCUUGUUGGUGGGGUAAUGGCCUACCAAGGCGACGACGGGUAGCCGGCCUGAGAGGGUGACCGGCCACACUGGGACUGAGAUACGGCCCAGACUCCUACGGGAGGCAGCAGUGGGGAAUAUUGCACAAUGGGCGCAAGCCUGAUGCAGCGACGCCGCGUGAGGGAUGACGGCCUUCGGGUUGUAAACCUCUUUCACCAGGGACGAAGCGCAAGUGACGGUACCUGGAGAAGAAGCACCGGCCAACUACGUGCCAGCAGCCGCGGUAAUACGUAGGGUGCGAGCGUUGUCCGGAAUUACUGGGCGUAAAGAGCUCGUAGGUGGUUUGUCGCGUUGUUCGUGAAAACUCACAGCUUAACUGUGGGCGUGCGGGCGAUACGGGCAGACUAGAGUACUGCAGGGGAGACUGGAAUUCCUGGUGUAGCGGUGGAAUGCGCAGAUAUCAGGAGGAACACCGGUGGCGAAGGCGGGUCUCUGGGCAGUAACUGACGCUGAGGAGCGAAAGCGUGGGGAGCGAACAGGAUUAGAUACCCUGGUAGUCCAA
rnacentral:rRNA from 1 species